rnacentral:hammerhead_ribozyme from 1 species
GCACUGUCGAGGAGUCCCAAAAUAGGACGAAACGGCCGUUCAGUGC